rnacentral:rRNA from 1 species
GACGUAGGGGGCGAGCGUUGUCCGGAGUUACUGGGCGUAAAGCGCACGCAGGCGGUCGCGUUAGUGUGUGGUGACAGCUCCCGGCCUAACUGGGAGAGGGCCGCACAGACGGCGUGGCUGGAGGGCCAGAGAGGGACCGGGAACUCCGGGUGGAGUGGUGAAAUGCGUAGAGAUCCGGAAGAACACCAAAGGCGCAGGCACGGUCCUGGCUGGCUUCUGACGCUCAGGUGCGAAAGCUAGGGGAGCGAACGGG